UGGUUGCAGGUAAUGAGAGCCAUUCCAUUAUACGAUACCUAUCCAUUUUUAUUGCUUUAAUUUUUGUCAGUUUAGUCACUGAAUGUAGCUGGAACAGAACAUGUUGGAAUUUUAGCAUCAGGACAUCUGGCUAGUUGGACGAUUAAACAUCCCUCUGUGUGGACACAAACAUUGUGUCUAGAUUUCAUCUGUAGAUUAUUUCGAGGAUGAUAACUUUGUCACCAACAUCGUGACUUUGAAAACUAGCAGUUGAACAGCCUUUCAAUUCCAAACAAGAAUCUAUUCAUGUAAUGUGACACUAUAUGGCUGGUAUUGGAGUAGAUAAUGCUGUUUGAAUGCAGAAUAUGUCACUGAGAAGGGGUUCUAUUAUGGUAGGAGUAUCGUGUUUAAGUACAGGCUGACCAGAAUUACAAACACAUUGAUUGAAAACUAUCAUCAGUUUCAAGAAUUGGUUAAAAACCAUUUUCCAGGCUAUUUGUGCUUUGUUAGCUAUAGGUCCCUAUAGACAAACUUACACUUCAGUUACUAGCAGAUGAACUGUUUCAAUUUCAAACAAAAGGAGUUGUGGU